rnacentral:rRNA from 1 species
UACGUAGGUGGCGAGCGUUGUCCGGAUUUACUGGGCGUAAAGGGCUUGUAGGCGGUCCGCUAAGUCUGGUGUGAAAUCUCCCGGCUCAACUGGGAGGGGUCAUCGGAUACUGGCGGACUUGAGGGGGGUAGAGGAAAGCAGAAUUCCUGGUGUAGCGGUGAAAUGCGUAGAUAUCAGGAGGAAUACCAGUGGCGAAGGCGGCUUUCUGGUCUGUUCUUGACGCUGAGGCGCGAAAGCUAGGGUAGCAAACGGG